rnacentral:rRNA from 1 species
GACGAACGCUGGCGGCGUGCUUAACACAUGCAAGUCGAACGGAAAGGCCCUGCUUUUGUGGGGUGCUCGAGUGGCGAACGGGUGAGUAACACGUGAGUAACCUGCCCUUGACUUUGGGAUAACUUCAGGAAACUGGGGCUAAUACCGGAUAGGAGCUCCUGCUGCAUGGUGGGGGUUGGAAAGUUUCGGCGGUUGGGGAUGGACUCGCGGCUUAUCAGCUUGUUGGUGGGGUAGUGGCUUACCAAGGCUUUGACGGGUAGCCGGCCUGAGAGGGCGACCGGCCACAUUGGGACUGAGAUACGGCCCAGACUCCUACGGGAGGCAGCAGUGGGGAAUAUUGCACAAUGGGCGGAAGCCUGAUGCGGCAACGCCGCGUGCGGGAUGACGGCCUUCGGGUUGUAAACCGCUUUCGCCUGUGACGAAGCGUGAGUGACGGUAAUGGGUAAAGAAGCACCGGCUAACUACGUG